AUUGGUUUUAUUAUCUCAAAAUCAUCUAUCGAGGUGCGGUCCCUGGAAUGUAUAGGGCUUGUUCUCAAGCUCCGAACCACAUCAUCUUCCAAGGGAGUAUCUUCAUCGAUUACAGUACUCGUUAUAUCAACCCUUUCCUCUUCUACAAGUUCACAAAGCUGCAAAUACUUCUCCCUGAUAAGCUUUUCAAUGCGUGCUCCAAAAGUCUCAACUGUAAGAGCAUCAAACUUUCGGCGGUCAAUGACAACCCUCAAAUCUUCAAGACAAGUAAGCAAGUAAGGCAUUGAAUUGUCAUCAUCUAAAGGUGUAUUUGCUACGCAUCUAGCAAUAUCGGCAAGUUCAUUCAUCUGUGCAAUGUCAUCAUUCUCAGAAAAUGCAACCUUCCCUGUCAGGAGCAAGUCUAUGUGACUGCUCCUUGGUGUCAAUAAUGGAGACCUUGGAGUCAUGCUACCUGCUGAUGAUGUGGCCAUCCCUUGAUCCGAUUUUGGACCAAAGCGGGUUUUACACGACAUUGAAGGCAAACCCUUCAGGUCAUCCAUAAAAAU
rnacentral:misc_RNA from 1 species